AGAGUUUGAUCCUGGCUCAGAAUGAACGCUGGCGGCGUGCUUAACACAUGCAAGUCGAACGUGAAAGUCCUUCGGGAUGAGUAAAGUGGCAGACUGGUGAGUAACACGUGGGUAUCUGCCUAUCAAUAGGGAAUAUCUUCAAGAAAUUGAAGUUAAUACCAUAUACGUUUUUGAAAAAAAGAAAGAGGGCCUCAAGCUCUCGUUGAUAGAUGAACCUGCGCACUAUUAGUUAGUUGGUGAGGUAAAUGCUUACCAAGACGAUGAUGGUUAUCCGGCCUGAGAGGGUGAUCGGACACAUUGGGCCUGAGAUAUGGCCCUGACUCCUACGGGAAGCAGCAGUGGGGAAUUUUGCGCAAUGGACGAAAGUCUGACGCAGCAACGCCGCGUGAAGGAUGAAGCCCUUUGGGGUGUAAACUUCUUUUGUUAGGGAGGAAAAGUUAGUAGUUAAUACCUGCUAUAAUGACGUUACCUAAAGAAUAAGCACCGGCUAAUCUCGUGCCAGCAGCCGCGGUAAUACGAGAGGUGCAAGCGUUAUUCGGAAUUAUUGGGCGUAAAGGGCGCGUAGGCGGUUUUGUAAGUUUUUUGUUUAAUUCUCUGGCCCAACCAGAGGCAUGCAAAAAAGACUGCAUUGCUAGAGUGUAAUAGAGAGAAGUGGAAUUUUCGGAGUAGCGGUUAAAUGCGUAGAUCUCGAAAGGAACGCCAAUGGCGAAGGCAGCUUCUUGGAUUACUCUGACGCUGAGGCGCGAAGGCGUGGGGAGCAAACAGGAUUAGAUACCCUGGUAGUCCACGCAGUAAACGAUGAUCACUAGACGUAUGUAAUUUAAUUAUAUGUGUCUCAGCUAACGCGAUAAGUGAUCCGCCUGGGGAGUACGAUCGCAAGAUUAAAACUUAAAGAAAUUGACGGGGAUCCGCACAAACGGUGGAACAUGUGGUUUAAUUCGAUACUACGCGAGGAACCUUACCUGGGUUUGACAUGCAUAGGACGUAUACAGAGAUGUAUAUUCCAUGGAGUAAUUCAUGGCCUUUGCACAGGUGUUGCAUGGCUGUCGUCAGCUCGUGUCGUGAGAUGUUAGGUUAAGUCCUUUAACGAGCGCAACUCUUGUCGUCAGUUGCUAUCAUAUUUAUUAUGAGCACUUUAAUGAGACUGCUUAGGAAACUAAGAGGAAGGAGGGAAUGAUGUCAAGUCCGCAUGACCCUUAUGUCCAGGGCCACACACGUGUUACAAUGGAUGCUACAGAGGGAUGCGAACCCGCGAGGGGGAGCUAAUCCUAUAAAGGCAUUCUUAGUUCGGAUUGGAGUCUGAAAUUCGACUCCAUGAAGUUGAAAUCGUUAGUAAUCGCAUAUCAGAAUGAUGCGGUGAAUACGUUCUCGGAUCUUGUACACACCGCCCGUCAAGCCAUGAAAGCUGUCUGCACCAGAAGAUAUUAAGACUAACCGUCAAGGAGGUCGAUGUCUAAGGUGUGGGGGGUGAUUGGGGCUAAGUCGUAACAAGGUAGCCG
rnacentral:rRNA from 1 species